rnacentral:pre_miRNA from 1 species
UCACAUUGAGUUACGAUAAUAACUAUAUUAAUUUAUGAGAUUAUAGUAACUCCUUACUAAGUGGUUUACUGUAACAUUACAGUAACUAUCUCCAUGUGUUAUAGUAACCCAACUAUCAUAAAUACGUAUACAUAUUAUCAUAAAUUAGUAUAUAAAAUUAUCGUAAAUGGAGGUGG